rnacentral:snRNA from 1 species
GGAUGUGAGGGCGAUCUAGCUGUGACAUCUGUCAUCCCAUUGACUGCCAGGGUUGAUUCGGCUGAUCUGGGUGGCUAGGUGGGUGUCCACUUCCUCUGUCACUGCUCUGUGUGCAUCCCUCCCGAUGCUGUGCACUCAGUGGAAGAGGACAACCAUCCCGGAUAGAGGAGGAUCAGUCUUUGAUCAAGGCUAUAUGAAUAGCUGCACUCCCCUGCUAGAACCUCCAAACAAGCUCUCAAGGUCCAUAAAAUAUCCAUGUAUUACCUGGGAGCUAUUCAUCCAUUAACUUACCCAGUUGUUCCUAACU